rnacentral:rRNA from 1 species
UGUGGUAUUAAUUCGAUGCAACGCGAAAAACCUUACCUACCUUGACAUGUCCAGAAGCCCGAAGAGUAUUUGGGUGUGACCCGAAGGAGCUGGAACACAGGUGCUGCAUGGCUGUCGUCAGCUCGUGUCGUGAGAUGUUGGGUUAAGUCCCGCAACGAGCGCAACCCUUGUCGUUAAUUGCCAUCAUUCAGUUGGGCACUUUAACGAGACUGCCGGUGACAAACCGGAGGAAGGUGGGGAUGACGUCAAGUCCUCAUGGCCCUUAUGGGUAGGGCUUCACACGUCAUACAAUGGUCGGUACAGAGGGUUGCCAAGCCGCGAGGUGGAGCCAAUCCCAGAAAGCCGAUCGUAGUCCGGAUUGCAGGCUGCAACUCGCCUGCAUGAAGUCGGAAUCGCUAGUAAUCGCGGAUCAGCAUGUCGCGGUGAAUACGUUCCCGGGUCUUGUACACACCGCCCGUCACACCAUGGGAGCGGGUUCCGCCAGAAGUAGGUAGCCU